AUUGAACGCUGGCGGCAGGCCUAACACAUGCAAGUCGAGCGGAUGAAGGGAGCUUGCUCCUGGAUUCAGCGGCGGACGGGUGAGUAAUGCCUAGGAAUCUGCCUGGUAGUGGGGGAUAACGUCCGGAAACGGGCGCUAAUACCGCAUACGUCCUGAGGGAGAAAGUGGGGGAUCUUCGGACCUCACGCUAUCAGAUGAGCCUAGGUCGGAUUAGCUAGUUGGUGGGGUAAAGGCCUACCAAGGCGACGAUCCGUAACUGGUCUGAGAGGAUGAUCAGUCACACUGGAACUGAGACACGGUCCAGACUCCUACGGGAGGCAGCAGUGGGGAAUAUUGGACAAUGGGCGAAAGCCUGAUCCAGCCACGCCGCGUGUGUGAAGAAGGUCUUCGGAUUGUAAAGCACUUUAAGUUGGGAGGAAGGGCAGUAAGUUAAUACCUUGCUGUUUUGACGGUACCAACAGAAUAAGCACCGGCUAACUACGUG
rnacentral:rRNA from 1 species